GCAGUCGAGCGGACCUUUAGGAAACCUAGUUUCCUCUUAGUUAGCGGCGGACGGGUGAGUAACACGUGGGUAACCUGCCUGUAAGAUUGGGAUAACUCCGGGAAACCGGAGCUAAUACCGGAUAACAUUUUGAACCGCAUGGUUCAAAAUUGAAAGACGGCUUUGAGCUGUCACUUACAGAUGGACCCGCGGCGCAUUAGCUAGUUGGUGAGGUAACGGCUCACCAAGGCGACGAUGCGUAGCCGACCUGAGAGGGUGAUCGCCCCUGGGACUAGACCGGCCCAGACUGCUACGGGAGGCAGCAGUAGGGAAUCUUCCGCAAUGGACGAAAGUCUGACGGAGCAACGCCGCGUGAACGAUGAAGGCCUUCGGGUCGUAAAGUUCUGUUGUUAGGGAAGAACAAGUACCAGAGUAACUGCUGGUACCUUGACGGUACCUAACCAGAAAGCCACGGCUAACUACGUGCCAGCAGCCGCGGUAAUACGUAGGUGGCAAGCGUUGUCCGGAAUUAUUGGGCGUAAAGCGCGCGCAGGCGGUGUCUUAAGUCUGAUGUGAAAGCCCACGGCUCAACCGUGGAGGGUCAUUGGAAACUGGGAAACUUGAGUGCAGAAGAGGAGAGUGGAAUUCCACGUGUAGCGGUGAAAUGCGUAGAGAUGUGGAGGAACACCAGUGGCGAAGGCGACUCUCUGGUCUGUAACUGACGCUGAGGCGCGAAAGCGUGGGGAGCGAACAGGAUUAGAUACCCUGGUAGUCCACGCCGUAAACGAUGAGUGCUAAGUGUUAGAGGGUUACCGCCCUUUAGUGCUGCAGCAAACGCAUUAAGCACUCCGCCUGGGGAGUACGGUCGCAAGACUGAAACUCAAAGGAAUUGACGGGGGCCCGCACAAGCGGUGGAGCAUGUGGUUUAAUUCGAAGCAACGCGAAGAACCUUACCAGGUCUUGACAUCCUUCGCUACUUCUAGAGAUAGAAGGUGA
rnacentral:rRNA from 2 species